CUAAAGACUGAACUGUCAAGUUCUCAAGAGAUGGGUGAACUGCAGCGGAAAGCAUUAACCACUACAGAUGAUGCCAGAGAAGUGGACCACUUCUUUGUAUCCUAAUUUGCCUACCAGGCUUCAAACUAAACAGCAGUACUUGAGUAAACUGUCAAAGACUAACUCACACAACACCCAUUCCUCAAAUAAAGGAGCUGUGCCUGACAAUUUUCUCUUUGAAGACCUUUAUCUCUGGAUUUAACCCAUCACCACUACAACUACCAUCACUGAUUGAAUCCCCCAAAUUG
rnacentral:lncRNA from 1 species